AUGGUACAAGGUGAUGGGGUGCCACCUAUAACCGCUCUGAUUUUUCAGCGCUGAUGACUCCUGCUUCGAC
rnacentral:ncRNA from 2 species